GCUUACCUCUUCAAUAGUUUGCGAAGGCUCUUUGUCUUUGUAAAUUGUUGGUUUCCUGUGUUGCAUACCUAAUCAAAGGUAUUUUGCUGGUUGAUUGUUGUCCCUUUUUAUCUAGUGUCUAUCCUAUGACACUUGGUAAACCUAGAAGUGGUUUCUUUGAUCCUCAUUGUCAAUGAAAUAUUUGAUUUUGUGGCUCAUUGACCAUCGCUUGGUCUCUUGGAUACAAAACAUGAUGUUUGCAUAUUGGUUCUCAUGGAUUUUGUGGCUCAUUGAGCGAUCUCAUGUUAUCCUUUUAUUGCUCUCAUUUAGUGUUCGCGCAUUCUACAUGGUGUUAGCAUGUUGGUUUUCAUGGAUUUUGUGGCUCAUUGAGCGAUCUAUGUUACCCUUUCAUUGCUCUCAUUUAGUGCUCGCGCUCCUCUUGAAAUGAUUGCUUCCCUUGCCUAGGUGCAUGGGAGGCAUGUCAAAGAGGAAUGC
rnacentral:misc_RNA from 1 species